rnacentral:lncRNA from 1 species
UGAAAAUUGAGUUCCCAAUCUUGAGCCGUGUUUUUCAUGGUGCUAUUGUUAUUAUUCAUUGUCAUCAGGUUCCUCCACUGUGUGGUAGAUAGGUACUUGCACAGCCGGUAUGACUCUGUUUUUUUAUCUCUAGAUUCCUUCGCCUCAGAAACCAAUCUAGAUUUUAGAAGUGGGCUGGCUAUAGUGAGCCAACAUGAUUUAGACCAGCUUCAGGCUGAUGCAAUCAACGCUUUUGGAGAAUCACUACAAAAGAAACUUCUGGACAUUGAAGGAUUAUAUUCAAAAGUUCGAUCUCGAUAUAGUUUCAUACAGGCUCUUGUCAGACGUAUCCGUGGCCUCUUGAGGAUAUCAAGGAACUGAGAGCCCGUGCUUAUGCUCUUCUAUGAGAGAGAUGAAUUGGGGAGAAUUGUCUCCAUUUUAUAGAUUAGUUUCUUUCUAAAUUAUGACCAAAAAUAUUUUGCUAUUUCUUUCUUUGUAUAUGGACAUCUUUUCUGUAAACUUCUUCCCCUAGUUCCAUCCUCACUAGUAAAAAAUAAAUACUUUUUAAAAAAAC